AUGGGAGUUUCUUCAGUCCUUCCUUCUUAGCCUUAGGCAUCCUUUGAGUCAUUCUCAUCUCUGCAUCCCUGCAUCCCUCAGACCAGUCUAGGUUAGCCCCAGAACUUUCUCUGCUUUCGCAGCCCCGUUCAUAGACUGUGCCAAUCUUCCUUCGUUGUAGAUAUGGACACGGACGCGGCUCGAAUGUUAGCCCAGAGUCUCAAAGCCCAC
rnacentral:lncRNA from 1 species